UGAGUAGUCAGCAUGCACAAAAAUGCCAGGGGAGUUGGACCAGAUGGCCUUUACAAGUCUCUUCCAACUCGAACGAUUCUAUGAUAAGGGGGAGAGAGCCCAUCUGAGGUUGUGUCUGUCCUGAGAGCGCCAUGGCAGGCAAUCCCUGCAGCCUUCAGACCCAAACGAGCCAGCAGAUCCUGGUUUGUACACCAACGUGCACAGGAAUAGAAUGACGAUUCAUGCAGGGGAGCAGGAUAUUAGAUACAAAUAAGAAGUCUUUCUUUUGCUAAAAAUAUGAAUUCUUCCCCCUGUGAACAGACAGGCAAUAAAGGUGCCAUCUCCCCCCUGUACGCACACCCACAGGACCAAGGGUUCACCUCCUUCCACGAGACAGAGCACACAGCAGCGUGUCCCCAGAGGGCUUUCAGGAGACACGAGCAUCCUUGCAGUAGGAGUGCUGAGCCCUACCAGGGAGGGGCAGCUGCUUCCCAAACCUCCCCUCACUGCUCCACAUAGGGCUUCCUGCCCAAGCUGCACCUGCUCCUUGGAUCACCCUCAGCAAAUCAAGCUGAGUGCUGAAGGGGAAGGCUGAAUCCCCAUGGAGUCGCAUCUCACAAUAUGACUGAAAACCCCAUAUUUUAGGGCAAAAGCCUCCUCC
rnacentral:lncRNA from 1 species